AUUGAACGCUGGCGGCAUGCUUUACACAUGCAAGUCGAACGGCAGCGCGGGCUUCGGCCUGGCGGCGAGUGGCGAACGGGUGAGUAAUACAUCGGAACGUGCCCAGUAGUGGGGGAUAGCUCGGCGAAAGCCGGAUUAAUACCGCAUACGACCUGAGGGUGAAAGCGGGGGAUCUUCGGACCUCGCGCUAUUGGAGCGGCCGAGGGCAGAUUAGCUAGUUGGUGGGGUAAAGGCCUACCAAGGCGACGAUCUGUAGCUGGUCUGAGAGGACGACCAGCCACACUGGGACUGAGACACGGCCCAGACUCCUACGGGAGGCAGCAGUGGGGAAUUUUGGACAAUGGGCGAAAUCCUGAUCCAGCAAUGCCGCGUGUGUGAUGAAGGCCUUCGGGUUGUAAAGCACUUUUGGCGGGAACGAAAAGGACUGUGCCAAUACCACGGUUCGAUGACGGUACCCGCAGAAUAAGCACCGGCUAACUACGUG
rnacentral:rRNA from 1 species